rnacentral:piRNA from 1 species
UACUGGAAUUUUAUUGUAACU